rnacentral:rRNA from 1 species
CUGAAAUUCGCCUUCAUGAAGCCGGAAUUGCUAGUAAUGGCAGGUCAGCAUACUGCCGUGAAUACGUUCCCGGGCCUUGUACACACCGCCCGUCACACCAUGAGAGUUGGGAAUACCCGAAGCCUGUGAGCUAACUUUUAGAGGCAGCAGUCGAAGGUAGAAUCAAUGAUUGGGGUGAAGUCGUAACAAGGUAGC